rnacentral:rRNA from 1 species
UUGGGCACCCUAAGGGAACUGCCGCAGUUAAUGCGGAGGAAGGUGGGGAUGACGUCAAGUCCUCAUGGCCCUUAUAUCCAGGGCUACACACGUGCUACAAUGGGCGGUACAAAGGGUCGCGAACCUGUAAAGGGGAGCUAACCCCAGAAAACCGUUCUCAGUUCGGAUUGGAGUCUGCAACCCGACUCCAUGAAGUUGGAAUCGCUAGUAAUCGCGGAUCAGAACGCCGCGGUGAAUACGUUCCCGGGCCUU